rnacentral:lncRNA from 1 species
AUUUAGCCAUUUUCUUUUGAGAUCUAGGAGGAGGUAAUGAUAAAACGUGGAAAUGCGAAGAUCGGGUCUGAUAUUGAGUUCGAGUGGGAUCGGGUCAUUGAACAUAAGAUCCAAAUCAAUCCAUUAAACUAAACAAGUCAGGUCAGAUCAAGUCGAAUUAAGUUCAAAUUCAAUAAACUCAAAUCUGAUUUAGAUAAUGGAAUGAGUUCGAUUUUAAAACCCUACCCAUCCUCUUGGAUCCUUUAAUACGGAU